UCUUAAUCCUUGGAGUAACCUUGAACGCUGAACUUUCUUUUUUUUGUUUUGUGUAUACUAUGUAGUGUGCAAUUAUUUUUCAAGUAUCCAAGCUCAUUUGUUAGAGUAGACAUCAUUUUUGAGGAUUGAAUCAUCAUUAUCAAUCUCAGCAUUCUAAGAACUAAAUUGAAAUCAAUCCUGCGAUGGGAAAAGGUAGCAAUCAAAUAUUGGAAGUUGCCAGGAGAGAGAUUUCAAUGGCCAAAGUGCCCAUCAUUCUGAUGUUUUCAAAGGAUUUGGAUCUAGUGCAUGAGGAGCUCUUCUAAUCAUUUCCCCAAAUACUCUAUUGGAUUGAUCCAAAAUGCUCUUUCACAACGAACCAUUUGAGUAGUGCACUAUCAUUGGUCCCGAUUCUGGAGGAUUCAUACUUCUGACUCUCCUUAAAAACAUUAAGAAUGGAGUAGGAUGAUCUGGUACUCCAUGAUCUGGCCAAGCUGUAAACUGGAACUGCCGGACUUCUCGUUGUUCAGUUACUCCUUGGUUCAACUACAAAAGCCAUCAGAGCUUUUGUGAAACUUUAUACCAUAGUGAGUGAUCUGCCCAUUCCUAAAUUGCUGAACAGGAGGACUCCAUGUGAUCACAACACCAGUGGGACUUUGUAAACGACGU